UACGGGGGGGGUAAGCGUUGUUCGGAAUUACUGGGCGUAAAGGGCUCGUAGGCGGCCAACUAAGUCAUACGUGAAAUCCCUCAGCUUAACUGGGGAACUGCGUGUGAUACUGGAUGGCUUGGAUUUGGGAGAGGGAUGCGGAAUUCCAGGUGUAGCGGUGAAAUGCGUAGAUAUCUGGAGGAACACCGGUGGCUAAGGCGGCAUCCUGGACCGACAUUGACGCUGAGGCGCGAAAGCCAGGGGAGCAAACGGG
rnacentral:rRNA from 1 species